rnacentral:tRNA from 1 species
ACCUGGAUAGUUCAGUUGGUAGAGCAUCAGACUUUUAAUCUGAGGGUCCAGGGUUCAAGUCCUUGCUCAGGCG